UUAAUCUAGGAAAUUACACUCG
rnacentral:miRNA from 1 species